AUACGGAGGAUGCGAGCGUUAUCCGGAUUUAUUGGGUUUAAAGGGUGCGUAGGCGGGCUGUUAAGCGUGAGGUGAAAGCUCGGGGCUCAACCCCGGAACUGCCUCGCGAACUGGCGGUCUUGAAUGUCCGUGCCGUGGGAGGAAUGUGUGGUGUAGCGGUGAAAUGCAUAGAGAUCACACAGAACACCGAUUGCGAAGGCAUCUCACGAACGGAUGAUUGACGCUGAGGCACGAAAGCGUGGGGAUCAAACAGGAUUAGAUACCCUGGUAGUCCACGCAGUAAACGAUGAUGGCUAACCGCUGGUUUAUUCGGAUCAGUGGCCAAGCGAAAGCGAUAAGCCAUCCACCUGGGGAGUACGACCGCAAGGUUGAAACUCAAAGGAAUUGACGGGG
rnacentral:rRNA from 1 species